rnacentral:lncRNA from 1 species
UCCUGACUUGGGACAGGCACAUAAUGAGUGUGGCAGGGUUAAACGUGUUUGUGAGCGCUCAACCUUUCCCCCUUAUCUGGGAUAGUGACAUAACAGCACCUUUAAAAAUCAGUGGAAAGCUUAAAGUUAUCAGUUUUGUUGAUUUAGAAUGCAUUCAAGAAAAGGAUUGUCCAUAUAAAGUUGCCCUAAAUCUGACACCUCCUUUUCAGUACCCAUGACAUGACUUAGCCCAGUAUUCCCACAAGGGGCAAAUAUAUGUGUAGACUUUUUCAACACUACUAAUCUCAUUGUUUGUGCCACCAAUCUCCUCACCAUAUUAAUAUUAACCUCCUGCUCCCCUUUGGCUUCCUCAUUAUUUGACUCAUUAUAGCCCUCACUGUCAUCUUUCCCCUGCCCAUUCUGACCAAUUCUUAACCUUUCCUCAUUAAGUAAGUAA